GAUGAACGCUGGCGGCGUGCCUAAUACAUGCAAGUCGAGCGAACGGACGAGAAGCUUGCUUCUCUGAUGUUAGCGGCGGACGGGUGAGUAACACGUGGAUAACCUACCUAUAAGACUGGGAUAACUUCGGGAAACCGGAGCUAAUACCGGAUAAUAUUUUGAACCGCAUGGUUCAAAAGUGAAAGACGGUCUUGCUGUCACUUAUAGAUGGAUCCGCGCUGCAUUAGCUAGUUGGUAAGGUAACGGCUUACCAAGGCAACGAUGCAUAGCCGACCUGAGAGGGUGAUCGGCCACACUGGAACUGAGACACGGUCCAGACUCCUACGGGAGGCAGCAGUAGGGAAUCUUCCGCAAUGGGCGAAGGCCUGACGGAGCAACGCCGCGUGAGUGAUGAAGGUCUUCGGAUCGUAAAACUCUGUUAUUAGGGAAGAACAUAUGUGUAAGUAACUGUGCACAUCUUGACGGUACCUAAUCAGAAAGCCACGGCUAACUACAUG
rnacentral:rRNA from 1 species